AACGAACGCUGGCGGCAUGCCUAACACAUGCAAGUCGAACGAGACCUUCGGGUCUAGUGGCGCACGGGUGCGUAACACGUGGGAAUCUGCCCUUUGCUUCGGAAUAACAGUUAGAAAUGACUGCUAAUACCGGAUGAUGUCGAACGACCAAAGAUUUAUCGGCACAGGAUGAGCCCGCGUAGGAUUAGGUAGUUGGUGGGGUAAAGGCCUACCAAGCCGACGAUCCUUAGCUGGUCUGAGAGGAUGAUCAGCCACACUGGGACUGAGACACGGCCCAGACUCCUACGGGAGGCAGCAGUGGGGAGUAUUGGACAAUGAGCGAAAGCCUGAUCCAGCAAUGCCGCGUGAGUGAUGAAGGCCUUAGGGUUGUAAAGCUCUUUUACCAGGGAUGAUAAUGACAGUACCUGGAAAAUAAGCUCCGGCUAACUCCGUG
rnacentral:rRNA from 1 species